CUAGUAAAAAAUGAUCACCAAUGACACUUGGUUUCGAUUGAGUAAUUUCUAUCGUAUGUUUAUCUUCUACUUUGUUUACAUUUGCACUGAAUGAAUUUUCAGCUUGACCAAUAUAACAUUCUUUCAUAUUAUUAUACAAAUUAGUACAUUCAAAAUUUUUAAAUAUACUUAUCUUAUCUUUCUUUUCAGGACAAUCAUUCGCCCAAUGGCCCUUGUUGCCACAAUUAAAACAUCUCCCUGUUCUCCAAGUAGGGUUGGAUCUCUCUCUUUGGUGGAAUAGGACACUUUCCUGACCUCUUCGUUGACUUUUUUAGCUUGUCGGACUAGCUUCUACGUUCAGCUCUGUUUUGCGCUCUUAUCAUCUUCUUUUCAUCUUCGGAGUCGUCGGCAAUUGGAUUAGUUGUGUACUCCUUCACGACUCUCCAACCCAAUUCGGAUGAAUCAGCGAGUUUAAUGAGUUUUCUGUCUGUCUCUAACAAUUGCCAUACCUUCAACAAUCUUGUCCCUAGCUUGAUGAAUGGAGUCUACGGAUAAAUCUUGUCCGUCUAACUGUGCUUUUGCUUCCGUUAACUUCGUCAAGACUUCAACCUCAUGCUUGUACUAGUUUUCGUUCCCCUUUCGUUGGAAAGUAUAGUUCUCCGACAAAGUCUCCUCAAUCUUGGACAUCUGGGAUUGACUGAUAUCUCGCUGAGACUGCUGGAUAUUUCCCUGGAAUGUGGAUAGUCUGUUAUCUAUCAAAGCUGUGAUUUGGAAGGGUAUCUUGUUGUGAAGCAGAUACUGCAUUUUGUACUUCUUGGACAAAUACUUGCUUUACGGAAUUAUCUAAACCGGGGUCCGUCAUAUUUCACUGUUGUCCAGUCUGAUGCUUGGCUAGAGUGACCAACUGGAAAAAUUCCGCUAAAUAUCAGUAUCACGUGACAAUGUAUUAUACGUGUACAUAAGAAGUACCGUAUCAUAGUAUUCACUAGUACCGUUAUUACAAUAAUUUCCCACUAUACUAUCGAACCGUUGGAAAUUAUAACUAUAUAGAAUAUUUGUCAAUUUACUAUCGGAACUGUUUACAAUGUUAGACCAAAAAACUACCAUACGGUAUUCGGGUCCGUAGAAAUACCGUAAAGGACCUCCUUAGUGCACUAUAAGAAAAAAAAGUGAAAUAAGGACCUGAUCGAAUGAUACAACUGCUACAAAGGACAUGGCAUAUAAAAAUAGACUUGGUAAAAAUACAUAAUUUCAAAUUGUUUAAUUAUAUAUGUUUUAAUAAGAAAGUUAUUUAAUGUUUUCUCGGCACUCGCCUCAAUCAGUUGAUUGUCACCGUUAGUGUAAUCGGUAGAAGUUCAAAUGUUCUCUCAACCAUGACCUGUUUAUAAUCCGAUUGUAUACUGAUUAAACGUGCCGGAUUAAACAUGUAUAUGGUAUUUCAAAUUGUCUGCAUGUUUGUAAUAUUUUUUAUUUCUAACGUAAUAGUUUAUUUCCGACUCUUAUUUUCGGAUUUUUUUUAUCUUUUUAAUUUUAAAAUAACAAAUAAUUGUGAACUCAUCACGGAAAGGUGAGGAUCGAUAUUUGAUUGCUUAAUAUCCAGUGGCCAAUAUUUAAUUCAUUUUUCUGAUGUCAGGAACCAUGCCUCACAGCAAGGUUUUUCAAUUGAUCAUUUGUUGAAAGAACACAGGCAAAUACAAUAAGAUUGUAUUGACUAUAUUUGAUGCCAUGGUCUCUAUAUGAUGAUUUAUUAUGUUUUAUGCAUGGGACACUAAACUCAUAUUCAACAAAAACAAAUUUAUUCAGAUUUUUAUGAAGCCACCGUACUAACAUCUGCUUUCGCUUAUUUUUGUUGUAAUAAUUUUUUUCUUAAUUUUCCUUGUCUUUUAAAAUUUUAAAAUAUAAUUCCAUCACUAAAUUUUAUUUCAUGCCAAAAAUAAGAAUACGAAGGUAUUUCUGAAAUGCUAUAUAUAACUUAGCGAAGUGCCUGUCCGGAGCCUGUAAUUCAGUGGUUGUAGUUUGUGUAUGUGUUACAUAUUUUUUUUUUUUUUUUUUUUUUUUUAUAUAAAUAAGACCGUUAGUUUUCCCGUUUGAGUUGUUUUACAUUGUCAUAUCAGGGACUUUUAUAGCUGACUAUGCGGUUUGGGCUUUGCUCAUUGUUGAAGGCCGUACGGUUUUCUAUCCGAG
rnacentral:lncRNA from 1 species